UAGGGGGGGUUUGAAGUUGUCUAAACUAGCCAUGCCGUCUAAGUACAAACUAAAUGAUGGUGAAACUGCAAAUGGAAUAAAGAACCAAAUUAUGAUGUACCCGGGAGUUCCGAUGGAUAUAACCAGUAACACUAGAACUAAUACAUGUCCCUGCGUUUAUUAGUUUCGCACAGUCCGUCGCUGAGUCAUGGUAAACAGUUGAUCGACUCGACGUCCCGGAACAGUUUCCGCCCCAUCAGCUUCGAUGGUUGGGUAUUGGCCUACCAUUGCAACAACGGGUAACGAGGAAUUAGGGUUUGAUUUCGGAGAGGGAGCCUGAGAAACGGCUACCACAUCUACGGAUGGCAGCAGGCGCGCAAAUUACCCAAUGCAGACACUGUGAGGUAGUGACGAGAAAUAAUAAAGCGGGACUUCUGUUUCGCUAUUAUAAUGAGGAAUAACCAAAGGUCAUUCCGAUUAGCAACUGAUGGGAAAGUCUGGUGCCAGCAGCCGCGGUAAUA
rnacentral:rRNA from 1 species